rnacentral:lncRNA from 10 species
CAGCCAUCUCCCCUGAGGAGUACUUCGACCCCAACUUCAGCCUGGAGUCACGGAACAUUGGCCGCCCCAUCGAGAUGUCCAGCAAAGUACAGAGGUGAGGUCUGAGAGCUGGCUGGGGACUUGCCUCGGGACAAGGGCUCUUGCAGACCCCUCUCUGGGCCUGUCAUAGUUAGGGACCCACUCCCUCGGCUGGCUUCUCUCUGGACUCCACUCCUGGAGGGCAGGAGUCAUGUCUGCCUUAUCCAUGGUCCUCAGCCCUUAGCAAGGGGCUUGGCACAGAAAACCGGUAGUUUGUCUUUGAUGAAUGGAUGGUGCCACCCAUGUAUGGUUUUCUAUUGAAUUUCAUGAGUACCUGCUGGGGCCAGCGUGGCACAGUGGGAAGGGCCCCCAGCGACGUGGCCUGGGAGUGGAGCGUCUGCCUUGGUGGAACAGAACAGUUACGCUCUUGCCUCGUGAGGAGCCUUGAGCAGGUUCAAGGCAACACUGUGGCUGAGUGAAGAGCACCCGCUCUCCCUGGGUGACCAGGUGACCCCCAUCAUCGACCUAAUGGCCAUCAGCAACGCUCACUUUGCCAAGCUGCGCGACUUCAUCACUCUGCGCCUUCCACCU